UUCACUGCACUGGUAAGGUAUGGAUCUGAAGCCUCUUGUAGGUCAACAAAGGCUCUCCAUACCCUACUUCGAUUCAAUACGUCCCCGGCGUAUAGAACGGUAACAGGUCUCUCCAAAUAUCUGAGCUUGGGUAUACGGCGAAACCCAACCCCUUGGGAAGAUGGGUGAUAUGGCUAAAUUGAGCGGA
rnacentral:ribozyme from 1 species